AUGACGUGCUUGACCAAGGAGGCAAAGGAUAUCCGGACUUUGACAUCCCUGGUCAUGUGGGAGCUCUGGAAGCACCGGAAUGCGAUUGUUUUUGACAAUGCAACGCCCUCGAUUGGUAGUGUACUUGCGAGAGUAGAAAGUGAGGCUCGAUCAUGGACGGCAGCAGGGUUGUUUAAGGGAGACACAUGGCCUUUCCUCGGGUCUCUAGCUAGGUGGCUCGCCAUAGGGUAG
rnacentral:rRNA from 1 species